CGCCAGGGGUCCGGCAGCUGCGGCCAAUAGGCGUGCAGGGGCCGGGCGGGCUGCUGGGAUUACCAGUGCGGGACGGGCGGUCGGGCGGGCACAGACCCGAACGGCCCAAUAGGCGCGGGGGCCCCUAGUUUACAGCCCGCCCUCCCUACCAGCGCGCGUAUCCGGCUGUGGAAAAUUUGCGGCGUGAGGUGCAGUCGCCCAACUCCUGUCCCCUCGGCCUAGGGAUCCUCCUCCAUCUCCAAGGCCUAGAGGGCUCUCGGGCUUCUCCGAAGACCUCGCCCCUCGAGAGCCUGUUUCCUUGUGGAGACGUGGGGCGCAGUGUAGGUUGGUCACGGUCGCUGGAUGCCGACGGACGCCUCAUCCAGUUCUCCAGGUCGUGAGCGCGACCAGACCACUCCCUCAGGCCCAAGGCUCCGGAUUUUAACGGGUCUGCGCAAUCCCGCGCGAACCUGACAAGAAAGGGACCAAUCUCUUUGGAACAGCUUCCCAGAUCCUGCCUGAUUCUUAAAAUACACAUCCCUGCUCCAGAGCCUAUGACUGUGAAACACCCCAGCCUGACCCUGGGCCACUUCGGCUCCUUGGGGCAGACACAACCAAUCCUCUGCUCAACACAUUUUAUUGCUAAGGACAAGAGACUUCAGAGUUCCGAGUGUCUGCUGUGCUGUGGAACACCAGAGUGCUCUCGCCUCAAAGGCUGGGAACCUUCUGGACCCAGGAAGCACCUACUCCAUGAUGGCCCGGUACAGCGCAGGUUCAAUGUAAUCUUCCCGGUAUCUAGAGUUGAUGACCCGCUGCCGUUUCUUUUCUUGCUUAACCUCUUUCUCCGUGAAAAUCUCGUUGAAGCGCAUAUCUGAGGCUACUGACUGCAGAAGAACAGGCAAGCCAAAUCAUCAUUUUAUAGCCAACUAUCCGAAUGGGAAAACAGACACCCCUGCCAUGUUCCCUUGUGUUCCUGGGACCAAAGGCACACAGGAAACAUACUCACCAGUCUAGACUUGACUCUCUUGGGAAGCUCUUCAUCCAGCGUAUAUACAUCAUCUCUCUUAACCACAAGCUGUGAGCCAUCCUCAAAUUCCACCUGCCAAUGAAACAAAGGCCUUCUAGCUAGGGAACUUUUGAGUUUCCCUGGUCCACACCAUGAGAAUGGCAGUUUCCUACAGCUAACGUAAGGACUGCCAGGUCUGAAGCUGCACUAGUGAACUAGAUAUGGCAACAGACCUCUAGCUCUAAAAAGGUUGUUACUGACCCACAGUACGCUUGAGAGUAAAGACUCACCUCUCAAGAGGAAGCACUAAAUCAAGUACCCCACACCCCUAAUAGGAACCUUUGGCUACCUGGUACAUCUGUUCACCAUAGUUUGUUGGGGUUUUUUUUGGUACCGGGGAUCAAACUCAGGUCCUUGCGCUUGCGCAGCAGGCAGCGAAACCACUGAGCUAAAUCCCCCGCCCAUACCUGGUACAUCUGGAUGGGGUGGGAAGCCACAAAUUUAGCUCCAUAGACUUGGCCAUCUGUCCAUCUCACUUGGACCACUUCCCCUUCAGCAGGAGGACCCAACUGGAGACAGUCCUGGCUCUGAAGAAAGAAGAAGGUAAAAUGAAAGGAAGGUCCACUUGAGCACAAUAGUAACAGACAUCUACUCAGGGGAAAAUGAGCCACUAUAGAUGAUACUCCUGCUUUGACACUGUAGUAGGCCACUUAUUCUGGGGUGAAAGAUGUAACCCGCUUGCUAAGUCAUAGUCUGCCCUGUAUCUCUUGUCCUGCUACUUCUAGGUGACAAAAUGAACAGCUAUGGACCAGGGAUUUAGCUCAGUGGUGCCGCUGCCUGCCUCGCAAGCACAAGGACCUGAGUUCAAUACCCGGUACCAAAAAAAAAAAAAAACAGCUAUAAUGAAUUUAACAAACUUAAUAAGCACAAGACCGGUGCCAAAAUCAGUAAUCUUCACAUCUACUCGUGUCCUUCAUAUUCCAGAGCGCUCUCAUGAAGAAACAAUAGAAGUAUACUUAAAAUUUAAGAAAGAUGUUUUUAAAAUACAAGCAAGAUAUGAAAAGAAAGGACAGGAUUACCUAUCAGGGAUCUUGGCACAAUACAUGAGGACCUUUACUCCUUCUAGAAAAGACUAUCUUAAGAUGAAUGUUUACUGUAUCCCAGCUUAAGGCUUGGUACACAGUUAUGGUGGUUGAAAGAAAAGACAGACCUGGGAGAAGAUGGCCUAAAAAGUAUACAUUACAGAAAUGGGGACAGCAAGUCUGAAAGGUUGUAGAUGUCCAAAACUGCUCUGAUAGACACCAUACUGUGUGAAAAACCAGAAAAAGUUCUGUCCUGUCUUGCCAGUUCAUUUCCUGAGGAAAAGCAGUUCUAUACUAUAUUGCUAAUUCAUUUAUGAGCAGGUAAUCAAAAACUGAGGUAGAAACUUUGACUAACCAAACAUGAUGUUUGAUAAAUCACUUACAUUCUCUGCAAUUCAAUUUUACCUCCCAGAACAGCACUUCUCAAAGAGUGGUCUACAAACCUCUGAGGGGCUUCUGAGACACUUGCAAGGAACAUGUGAGGGUCAUGACUGAUUUCCUAACAUUAAGACACUGGCCUUUCUCACAUUGGCAUUGGCAGUGAUGGCACAAAAUCUGUGAAUUACUGGUCAUGUGUAUAAUUCAGUCAGUGGCCUCAAGUUCUACCAGUCAUUAUUGCAUCCUUCACCAUUCUGCAUGCAAAAUUUAA